AGGGGAAUUUUGGACAAUGGGCGAAAGCCUGAUCCAGCAAUGCCGCGUGUGUGAAGAAGGCCUUCGGGUUGUAAAGCACUUUUGUCCGGAAAGAAAUCCUUGGCUCUAAUACAGUCGGGGGAUGACGGUACCGGAAGAAUAAGCACCGGCUAACUACGUGCCAGCAGCCGCGGUAAUACGUAGGGUGCAAGCGUUAAUCGGAAUUACUGGGCGUAAAGCGUGCGCAGGCGGUUUGCUAAGACCGAUGUGAAAUCCCCGGGCUCAACCUGGGAACUGCAUUGGUGACUGGCAGGCUAGAGUAUGGCAGAGGGGGGUAGAAUUCCACGUGUAGCAGUGAAAUGCGUAGAGAUGUGGAGGAAUACCGAUGGCGAAGGCAGCCCCCUGGGCCAAUACUGACGCUCAUGCACGAAAGCGUGGGGAGCAAACAGGAUUAGAUACCCUGGUAGUCCACGCCCUAAACGAUGUCAACUAGUUGUUGGGGAUUCAUUUCCUUAGUAACGUAGCUAACGCGUGAAGUUGACCGCCU
rnacentral:rRNA from 1 species